GCUGGUUAGACAGAGAAAUUUAGUACCCCAGUAUUCCUGUGCUACUUAGCUUCCUCUUCUUCUCCUUCUUUUUAUUUUUUAGGCAAUCAUUUUUUAUAGGAGCAACGUAUAGUGGGCUAAUUAGAUCAUGGGUAUGAUUAUUUGUGGAAAAAAUUGUUUUCAUUAGGACAGGAAGAAAAUGUUGCUCAUGAUUCAAUCUUAUCUAUCAUUCUUGCCUUUUGUCCUCUUUAUAGUCAUGCCACAAUGGGCAAAAUAAAAUUUGUUAAACUCUGGAAACUCUUUUUUUUUUUUAAUUUCUU
rnacentral:misc_RNA from 1 species